rnacentral:rRNA from 1 species
AUGAAGCCCUCCACCAACUUGCUGCUUCUUACUCCCAGUGACAGUAUGCUCCCUCGUGUUGCCACGGAGGGGAAGGGACCACCACAUACACAGACCUCCCUCCAUGUCUGGGGAUCGACGCCGGCGGUUGUGUGGUGCAGGCCGGCGGCGACACCGGAGGCGGGCGAGGCAAGACACCCGUUGACCUACCUCUUCUCAGUGCAAGUGGAGUGGUCCUGGGGAGCAGGGUUUGUGCCAAGCAAGCCAGCAGCUGCGUGCGAUUUCGGCAAAUACCUACAGAACACGGAGGAGAAGUUGGUUAGCAGAUGUGGCCGGAAAGUGCACGUCCAGCUCCCCUCGCAGGCAACAAAGCAAGGUUGGGGUCGGUGGUGGUGGUGGUGCGUGCCCUGCGGCAAUGCAGCGCUUGCCGGAAGUUGUUGGGGUCAAUGGGCGACGUCGGCGGCCUUAGCUUCUCUCCCACCGGCAACAAGGAACCACAAACACCGACAAAAAGCUUUCCGGAACAUGGGCAUGGGGCGGCUAUGCCAUGGCCUGGUCGUGGUUCGGACGACCUUGGUGGAAGGUGACAACAGCGAUGGCGGGGGAGGGGGGUGGAGGGGGAGGGACGACAGGGGAAGAGAAAUAGGGCAUCUGUGCCACCAAAGGGCGGGCCAGGGGAGGACAAUGGCACGCGUCCCGACCGUCCGCGCGCAUUCGUUUGGCCGCAAAUGCGGCCCAAAGUUGGGCCAGGAAUGGAAUGAAAAAAACGCAAAACUAGUAGCCCGUCGGCCAGGGGUGGGCCGAAAAGGGGGUUUUCGGCCAGGGCAUGGCCGAAGUAGGCUUUUCGGCUGCGCUUGGGCCGAAAACACGCUGUCGGCUGGGGCCCGACCGAAAAUAGUAGCUUCGGCUGCUGAGAGGCCGAACUGGGCCGUUUUCGGCCCACCGGUGACCGAAGUGGAGCUUUUCGGCCAGGCUGCGGCCGAAAAGUUUUUGAUGUGUUUGGGGAGGAGCAGCCAUGGUGGGGAGGAGGAGCCAUGGUGGAGAGGAGGACGGGUAGUGAAAAUGUCUGAAUCAGUAAAUCUGAAUGUUUACUACGGCGCUGGUAAUGUUCGAUAUAAUGAGUUGGGGGUUGAUCUUAGCGAGUUUAAAAAUGGCGUCAUGACACUAGCUGACCCGGACAGACUGGACAUUAGACAGUUGAAGUACUGGUUGACAACUAGUUUCGGUCUGGAUCCUGAAGUAUGUUCUGUCAGUAUUCAUGCAUUGUGGACCAAAUCCUGUAAAAAUGUCAAGUGGGAGUUGAUGCCGGUAGAUAGGAGCCAGCAUUGGUUGUCCCUGUUAAGACGCUGUCGAGACCGAAGAAUCCACCCAUAUGCACUUGUGCAACCUGUGCCGAAGGAGGAGAAUACCGUAGAACUCCACAGGGGGUAUGAACCCGGCCAAGGCAGUGAAGUGGCUAACGAGAUUGUUUUAUCCGGGUCACAGCCACAAGAUGUGGAUGCUAGCCAACCCGAGAAAGAGUCAGACUACGUGCCACACAAUGUUUGUGGUCCUGAUACUGGGCAGAGCAGCCAGUCGAUAAUAUUAGCUGGUUCAGGUUUUGCUGAUGGGGAUGAGGAAGGGGAUGAAAUGCAGAGGGUGAUGGAGGAAGAGGACGAGGAUGGAUUGGUGGAGGAACUGGAUUCUGAAAAUUCUGAGGAUGAAAUAUGUCUUUGUAUCCGUUGCUUAAUGGCAACAUCGAUAGAAAGCACCGGGGCGCCCUAUUGGAAGCGGGCAACAACUUGGACGUGUUGGUUAAGUUGGGCUGGACUUCUACCCUUGGCACGGCUGGUUCAGGGUACAUUGGAUGAGUGGAUUGAUGGUCCGGACUUAGAUGAGGCAGGUGAACCAGUGCAGUUACACAAGAGGCAAGUGAGACGUUUCUCUUACGACAAGUCACUCCUUACCUGCUUAGUAGAUAGAUGGAGGCCAGAGACACAUACGUUUCACUUCCCAUGGGGAGAGAUGGCGCCUACUUUACAGGAUGUGUCGUACUUGUUGGGAUUACCUCUGGCCGGUGCUGCCAUAGGUCCCUUAGAGGCAGAAUCAGGGUGGCAAACAGCGAUGCAGACCCGUUUUUUGGCUGCGGUCCCGACUGCUAGGGCCAUAGACAACGAUCCUCAUGGACCUCUUUUUAGAUGGUUGAGCCAGUUUCAGCUGGGGCUUAUGUGCCUGCUAUCGGCGACUUACCUACUAUGGGUUCUGUUUGGGCACGGCGAGAGACUAGACCAAAAAGUCUAUUUCGGCCUAGCUUUGGCCGAAAUGCUCCACUUCGGCCUAAUGAUGGCCGAAACUACCUACUUCGGCCUAAUGAUGGCCGAAAUCACCUACUUCGGCCUAGCUUUGGCCGAAAAGCCCUACUUCGGCCUAGCUUUGGCCGAAAAGACCUACUUCGGCCAGAGGAUGGCCGACGGGCUACUAGUUGUGGUUUUUUUGCAUUACGUCAUAUAG